rnacentral:rRNA from 1 species
GAUGAACGCUGGCGGCGUGCCUAAUACAUGCAAGUCGAGCGAACGGACGAGAAGCUUGCUUCUCUGAUGUUAGCGGCGGACGGGUGAGUAACACGUGGAUAACCUACCUAUAAGACUGGGAUAACUUCGGGAAACCGGAGCUAAUACCGGAUGAUAUUUUGAACCGCAUGGUUCAAAAGUGAAAGACGGUCUUGCUGUCACUUAUAGAUGGAUCCGCGCUGCAUUAGCUAGUUGGUAAGGUAACGGCUUACCAAGGCAACGAUGCAUAGCCGACCUGAGAGGGUGAUCGGGCACACUGGAACUGAGACACGGUCCAGACUCCUACGGGAGGCAGCGUAGGGAAUCUUCCGCAAUGGGCGAAAGCCUGACGGAGCAACGCCGCGUGAGUGAUGAAGGUCUUCGGAUCGUAAAACUCUGUUAUUAGGGAAGAACAUAUGUGUAAGUAACUGUGCACAUCUUGACGGUACCUAAUCAGAAAGCCACGGCUAACUACGUG